AGUUUCUUGCAAACCCGGAAGCAGAUCUCUUGGAGUGAAGGCUGUUAGUCGCCGCGUAGAACCCUGGAAGAAGAGGAAGAGGAAGGCAAAGGAGUCAGGGAUGGCUCUUCCUCAGGUGAGAUGAUAUUCUCGGUGGAUUGUUCUGUCUCCUUCCUUUCAGAAACCUUGGACCUUGGAGUUGGGAAUCUUCUCUGAGUCUGAAGCAUCCUGCCUGACAGGUUUGCUCGCACUCACUCGUGCCUUCCCUCAGUCCCUCUCAUCUCACUUAGAUUCCAUCUCUGGUGACCCAGUGACAUGAACUUGGGAAGAGGCUGCACGGGGCAUGGACCUGGGAAGGGCUCACACCCCGACAUGGAUGGAGACGGGGUGAGGGUCCCGUGGUGUCAGUGCUGUUGGGCAACAGGGAUUGUUCAGGACAUAUUUGAAUAUAUUGACAGCUCUGUGUAAACUGUGAUAAGAGAAGCUGGUUAUGAAGUCAGAUGUUAGUGUGUACAAGCACCCACGAAAUGCUGUAAAAUGAGACGACUGUGGGGAAAGCUUUGUCACCUCAUUUAUAUUUGCAUUUGAUGCCGAACAAGUGAGUCACUGUGUUUCUGACUCCAAACUCCUUUUUUUUGUUGUUUUUGUUGAGACAGAGUCUCGCUCUGUCGCCUAGGCUGGAGUGCAGUGACGCGAUCUCAGCUCACUGCAACCUCCGCCUCCUGGGCUCAAGUGAUUCUCUGGCCAUGGCCCCCUGCGUAGCUGGGACUACAGGCAUGCAUCACCAUGCCCGGCUAUUUUUUUUUGUAUUUUUAAUAGAGAUGGUGUUUCACCGUGUUGCCCAGGCCGGUCUCCAAUUCGUGAGCUCAAGCGAUCCACCCGCCUCGGCCUCCCAAAGUGCUGGGAUUACAGGCGUGAACUACCGCGCCCGGCCUUCAUUACUUAUAUUCAACCAAGAGAGAAACUUAUCCCUCAGGCAGCGCCCUGAAAAGACAGAAUAUUGGAUGAAUGUUUUCAUACUUUUCCUCUCCCAGGAGAAAUGGGAAAUUGGUGUUUUUCUUGCAGUGACACUGCAUCAUGCCAGGGUAAGGCCUCUGGGAGCAGAUGUCCUGUAUUUUCCUACUAGACUUCUGUUAAGAGUUCCAACCUCUUAAAUGACCACUGGGUUUCUCACAAAGCAAUUGGUUCAUAUAUUGCUACUACAUUUGUGUCUCCGUGGUGGAGGUAGUGUUUGGGAGUUCUAGUCCUCUAUUUUAUUGACAUCAUCACUUUAGUACAGUCUUAUAAUUUCUUUAAAUAGGUCUGGAAACGUAUUUUAAUAGGUAGCAUUGUAUAAUUCCUAAUGUACUCGUGAGAUGCAUUGUGUGUUUGUGUCUAAUGAGAGCUGCUAAAGAAAGAAUGAAGAUUGUUUUCACAGUAUUGUUAUUAGUUCUUAAACUUCAAUGCAUUCUUCUCCUGGGUUGUGAGUAUGUCAUCUGUUAGUUUUAACAGAUCCAGCUCCUACUUUACCUUUUUCUUGGUCUCAGCUCAGGCAUGCUCUGAAGUGGGCUUUAGCUGGAGCCUUGGUGAGCCCCCAUUUUCUCCUUUUUUUUUUUUUCUGAUACAAGGUCCGGCCCUGUCGCCCAGUCUGGAGUGCAGUGGUGCAAUCUCGGCUCACUGCAACCUCCACCUCCUGGGCUCAAGCCAGCCUCCCAUCUCAGCCUCUCAAGUAGCUGGGACUACACGUGCAUGCCACCACACCCAGCUAAUUUUUAUAUUUUUUGUAAAGAUGGGGGUCUCACUAUUUUGCCAAGGAUCGUCUCGAAUUCCUGAGCUCAAGCAAUCCACCCGCCUUGGCCUCCCAAGGUGUUAGGAUUACAGGCAUGAGCCAUCAUGCCCAGCCCAUUUUCUCCAUUUUAAUUUAGAUCAAAUGCAUCCAGCAUUUACUGCUUGAUUAUGAUGUUUGGUGAAAUUUUCUUGUUUAAUAUUAGCUUUUGGGUGUUUUUCAAAUUUCCUUUUUGGACUGAUUUUUAAUUAUCCAAUAAUUUCUUUGAGUAAGUAUUGUUGCAAUAUGUACUUCUGAAAUCUAUUCAUGUAUGAUAUUAAAAAAUGUCCUAAUCUUAGGAUUUCAUGAGUAAAAUAAACUAAAACCUCCAUUGGGCUUUUGUUAAUGCCUAAAUAUCUAAAUUUAACUGGAAAAAAAUGGUAUCUGUACUUUUAAUAUUUGUAUUUAAUACCAAUUGGAGUACAAGUUCUUACAUAUUUUUGUUUUAGCGUUUUUACAGCUUAAUUUACAAAAAUGUUUGUAAACUAAAUCAAGUACAAUUCAUGCAUUUCAGUUGUCCCAGACUUUCUGAAAAGCACAUGAGCAAAAAAGACAACUAAAGAUGUCAU
rnacentral:lncRNA from 1 species